CCUACGGGAGGCAGCAGUGAGGAAUAUUGGUCAAUGGACGAGAGUCUGAACCAGCCAAGUAGCGUGAAGGAUGACUGCCCUAUGGGUUGUAAACUUCUUUUAUAUGGGAAUAAAAUGUUCCACGUGUGGGAUUUUGUAUGUACCAUAUGAAUAAGGAUCGGCUAACUCCGUGCCAGCAGCCGCGGUAAUACGGAGGAUCCGAGCGUUAUCCGGAUUUAUUGGGUUUAAAGGGAGCGUAGGUGGAUUGUUAAGUCAGUUGUGACAGUUUGCGGCUCAACCGUAAAAUUGCAGUUGAAACUGGCAGUAGUGAGGAGAGGAGAGGUGGGCGGAAGUCGUGGUGUAGCGGGGAAAGGCUUAGAUAUCACGAAGAACUCCGAUUGCGAAGGCAGGUGACUGGACUGCAACUGACACGGAGGCUCGAAAGUGUGGGUAUCAAACAGGAUGAGAUACCCCAGUAGUC
rnacentral:rRNA from 1 species